AUGGAUGGCCGCGCUAGCGUCGCCGUCCCCAGCGUCUGCAUCCAAAUCCCCGACCAGCUCCAGCUGCGGACGACGCCGUUCGAGCCGCAGAAGGCCAUACUGACCCCACGCAUCCGCUCCGGCGUCGACGGCUGCGACGCGGUGCCGCCGGAGCACCGGCUCACCGUGCUGGCCAUGCAGCUCGCGGUCCUGGAGAAGGCCGUGAGCCGCCUCGGCACGUUGGCCUUCGUCUGGGCCACGGUGGUCCUGCUCGGCGGCUUCGCCAUCACGCUCAGCCGCACCGACUUCUGGUGCAUCACCGUGCUGCUGCUCACCGACGGCGCCCGCAUCCAGGGCCGCAGCCACGAGCUGCAGUGGCAGCAGAGGGUCACGCCCUGGUGGGGUUGCCCGCCCGUGUCGCGCGCCGCCGCCGUCCACGUCUUCCACUGGCUUCAGCUGCUGUCCGCGUCGGUGUGCGUCACCGUCUCGCUCGUCCGCCUCGUCACCCAGCGCCACGGCGGCGACGGCGCCGACCUCUCCACCAACCGCCAUGCCGCUCUCGACAUAUUCUACGGCCUCGCGCUGGUGGAGUCGCUCUUGUUCCUCGUCGAGAAGGCCCUGUGGCAGUGGAGGAUGGGGCACCACCGCCUCCUCGAGCGCGUCGCCAAGGAGUGCCACCUCGCCACCGCGUGUGGCCUGGUCGCCGUCCGCCGCUUCUUCUACUGCUCUUACUCCCGGAGCCUGAAUGGGAGCAUCUUCGACGGCCUGCACAUGGACCUCGUGUUCUACGCCGACGAGAUGCUCACGGCCGGCUCGCACGACGAGCAGAGCCUCGGGGCCGGCAUCCUCGUCGCUCUCGCCGAGUCCCACCGCUUCGCGGACUCCACGCUCCGCAAGAUCGGCAUGUCCGCCUCCACCAUCGAGCGGCUCGUCCAGAUGCUCAGCUGGAAGAGCACGUCCGAGAGGGACGCGCGCAGAUCGGCCGCGGUUGUCGUCUCCAUGCUCACCGGGAGGAAGUUCGUCGCCCUCCGCGUCACCAGCAUCCCUGAGGCGGUGGAGUCCGUCGCUUCGUUGCUGUACGCCGACCUCGACGAGCUCAACCUCCUCGGCUUCUCCAUCCUCAAUAAGCUGGCGUACGACCAUGAUAACUGCGACAAGAUCGGCAAGACCCGGAAUCUCGUCGACAAGAUCAUUUCAUACUGCAGCAUCACUGGCGGGGGACAGGCGGUAGCGCCGACGGACAUGCGGUUGAAGGCGGUGAAGCAGUCGCUCCUUGUGGUGAAGAGGCUGACGAGCAUGACGGGAACCACCGGGAAGCUUCUACGGAGGGAGCUCUCAGACAUCGUGUUCACCGUGAGCAACCUCAGGGAGGUGCUGGAGCAGCGUGACAGAAAGGUCCAGUCCGAGCUGCACCAGCUGGCGAUCGAGGUACUGACGAGCCUCGCCAUUGACAAGGAGGCGAGGGAGAAGAUNNNNNNNNNNNNNNNNNNNNNNNNGGAGCUGGUCGCCAUAUUUCUACCGGGAAAGGAUCAGGCUAAAGGAAACCGGCAGAUAGACGCGAUCCGGGUAGAGUCCGGCGAGGCGCUGGCCAUGCUUGCGCUGGAAAGCAGGACCAACUGCGGCGCCAUAAUAAUGGCUUGCGGCGGAGGCGUGGAGCGGCUGGUCGAGGCCCUGAGUGAUGACGUCGUCGUCAUCGGUGUGGCGAGAAUCCUACUCAACCUGUGCACCUACGCCGGGAACGAGUGGCAGCUUCCCCUCAGAGGAGUCACCACCUGUGCCACCAAGGUGCUGAGUGCCAUCAUGGUCGAGAAGACCAAAAUCCUCAACAUCUUCCUCGGCCUCGCGGUGCAGAUGCUCCGAUUCAUGGAGCCCGGAGACCUGCGGGCGUGCCUGGCGGUGGCAAGUGUGACGGAGAAGGCACUGGUGCAGAUGCUGCUGCAUAUCCUGCGGGAGUACAAGCGCCCAUGCAUGACCAUCCCUUGGAUCCGGCGUUACGCUAUCGAGCUCACAGUGGCCAUGAUGCAAUUGGACCCGCGUUACAUGGCCCUGUUCGUGGAGCAUGGGAUGGAAGGUGUCCUGAGGCACAUCGCGGGCACCACCUCAGAGCUCGAGUGCUUCAACGCUUUCUCCGGGAGCGUCGGUCUCAGCCGCCAUGUCGUCUGCAUUGGAGCUGAUGAAGAUAUCCUGAAGUUUCCUGCAUUGGAGCUUGACUUAUUCAUUCUUGGCGUAUGUACUUACUUUUUUCUGUGA
rnacentral:rRNA from 1 species